rnacentral:tRNA from 1 species
GGAAAGAUGCUCGAGUGGUUGAAGAGGCACGCCUGGAAAGCGUGUAAACCUCAAAAGGGUUUCCGGGGUUCGAAUCCCCGUCUUUCCG